rnacentral:rRNA from 1 species
AACGAACGCUGGCGGCAUGCCUAACACAUGCAAGUCGAACGAGACCUUCGGGUCUAGUGGCGCACGGGUGCGUAACGCGUGGGAACCUGCCCUUAGGUUCGGAAUAACUCCCCGAAAGGGGUGCUAAUACCGGAUAAUGUCUUCGGACCAAAGAUUUAUCGCCUUUGGAUGGGCCCGCGUUGGAUUAGCUAGUUGGUAGGGUAAAAGCCUACCAAGGCGACGAUCCAUAGCUGGUCUGAGAGGAUGAUCGGCCACACUGGGACUGAGACACGGCCCAGACUCCUACGGGAGGCAGCAGUGGGGAAUAUUGGACAAUGGGCGAAAGCCUGAUCCAGCAAUGCCGCGUGAGGGAUGAAGGCCUUAGGGUUGUAAAGCUCUUUUACCCGGGAUGAUAAUGACAGUACCGGGAGAAUAAGCUCCGGCUAACUCCGUGC